GCCCGGAUGGCGAAAUCGGUAGACGCAGGGGACUCAAAACCCCCGCCGUAAGGCAUGUCGGUUCGACUCCGACUCCGGGCACCA
rnacentral:tRNA from 1 species